ACUACAUCUACUACCAUUGAUAAGGCACCUCUUUAAAUGAUCAUGUCUCCCGGCUUCUAUCGCAACAGACUAAGAUUGCAAAGCUUUGAAGUCGAUGAAGACUACCGCAUUGAUCAUCCUGACGACAUUCCAUCACCUCGUACACCGGGUGGCAAAUUUAACAAUUUGACAUACGUAACUUAGCUUAGUAAGACUUCGUUAUACAUCUCCUGUGACGCUUAUGACAUUAUCUCGUACAUGUCUAGCCUCGAGCAAUUGGAAAAGGACAAGCGAACGAGUGAUGGUUUUUCUCAGCAGCAGAGUUAUGUAGCGGAAAAGAGAGGAGUAAUAACUGAGUCAAGGUGCAUCUAGUUUGAUGGUCGAUCAAGCUCGGUUGGUGGCUAUCUGAAAGAUGGCCAUAGAUCGAAGUGUCGGAUGUAGGCAAUGAGUUGUAGAAGGUACGAGUAUGCGGCUGGUCGGAGUGAUUGGGAUGAUGGAAUUGUGUGCUGCAGGAUGUAAUGACGGUUAGAAAGCUUUCGUCUAGAUGCGCGUAUAAACACGCUCCAUAGAUCGAUGAUAAUGAAAGCAAGGAUACCAUACCAAUACACCUACAUACAAUACAACAAUAAAGAACCAGUAACGGUUCGAAAAUGCAAG
rnacentral:sRNA from 1 species